GGCCGCGUAGCGUAAUGGUUAACGCGCCACUUUCCGGAGGUGGAGAUUGCAGGUUCGAUCCCUGCCGUGGUCG
rnacentral:tRNA from 1 species